rnacentral:ncRNA from 1 species
UAGGCAUGCUGGGGUUCCGCCAGCGGCGCCUGGCGGCAGCUUGUGCAUAUGAGCGCCCCGACACCGGACGGGACAAGG